rnacentral:tRNA from 1 species
GGCCAGUUAGCUCAGUCGGUUAGAGCGUGGUGCUGCUAAUACCAAGGUCGCGGGUUCGAUUCCCGUUUGGUCU